AGGAUGAACGCUGGCGGCGUGCCUAACACAUGCAAGUCGAACGUCCUGUCUCGCAAGAGGCAGGGAGUGGCGGACGGGUGAGUACCACGUGGGUCAUCUACCGUGAGGUGAGGAAUACCGGCGAGAAAUCGCCGACAAGACCGCAUAGGCUCGAUGCAAGUCGAGCAAAGCUCUUUCGAGAGAGGGAGCGCCACACGAGGAGCCUGCGCCCGAUUAGCUAGCUGGUGGAGUAACGGUUCACCAGGGCGACGAUCGGUAGCUGGUCUGAGAGGACGAUCAGCCACACUGGGAUUGAGAACGGCCCAGACUCCUACGGGGGGCAGCAGUGAGGAAUUUCGUCAAUGGGGGCAACCCUGAACGAGCAACGCCGCGUGCAGGAAGAAGGUUUCGGAUCGUAAACUGCUUUUCUCGGGAAGAGAAUGGACGGUACCGAGGAAUCAGCCCGGCUAACUACGCGCCAGCAGCCGCGGU
rnacentral:rRNA from 1 species